AUGAACAUCGUGUGCUUGUACUCCCUCAAUAGUUUGGGCACGUUUCAACCAGCUCAAUCCGAGCAGUUGCAGGUCUCCAGACCAGAGCUGCAUCAACACACCGCGCAAAGAAACCAACCCCAGACCCACUACAGACAUGAUCAUCAGACUGGGCAGGCUGACCCCUGGAUACUUCCGCCUCCUACAGAGACAGGUGGCGGGUGAGGUGCAGACCCAGCCACAGGACCGCGCGGUCAACCAGAUAGCCAUGAUGCUGGCCAUCAUGGGCCUGAGCCUGUCCUACUACAGUGCCAAACGGAUGACGGAGAAGGUCCAUAGGCUCCAGAAGAGAAGAGAUCCCCAUACCCCCUGAAGAGACCCCCCUGGAGAUUACAGUGUCGGUGUCCAGAACAACACCUUUUCACAACCAAUCAGUCGUAGUCACGUCGUUCAGACACUGGAGUUUUACUGGGAUCACUCUCAAUGUGAGGAGAAUUCGGGAAUUCGGGGGGAGUGUAUGUGGGAAAGGGUGUGUAUGUGGGAAAGGCCCAUGGUGGGGUUUGUGUGGUCCUGAUAACGUUUGGGGGGUAAAAAAUACAACCAGCUGUCUAUGGUCAGGCUGGGCUCCUGCUUCAGUCGUUGCCAGGGUACAGGCGUGCAGGAUGCCGUCAAUACUGUUCUGAGCUAAAAAGGGAUAGAGAAAUGCUUAACUGGAUAUUCUAAUGUACUGUGAAUCUUGCCAGUGAAUCUUGCCAACUAUAUGACAGUUUGUCUAAAAUAACUGAACAGUAAUUAUUUUUUAAUUAAGGGAAGGCUAUCUGCACUUGAGAUGUAUCUAGUAAUGACUGAAGGCGGGCCCGUAGUGCGGUUGAAAGUGGGAAGAAAGGAACCCUCUUAGGUUUUUUGUAAUUCCUUAUUGUUAAAAAAAAAUAAAAGUGAGCCAUGUGAACUAGAUGUGGAGGAGUCUCAAACUGGUCAAUAAUUCCACACAUGUUCAAUAUAUGUUAAUGUCAGACACAAACAACUGUACAUUACUGGUGAAAUUAAGUAUUUUAACAUUUUGGGAACUUGCUUAUCCAAAUAUAUGAAAGAAAGGCACUUCAAUCACAACUUUGUUUUUCACAAUGUUUCUAGAUUAAAGUCUUGAUAAAAAUGUGUGGCUUUCUUUAAAGAACUCGAUCUGCAAUAGCUACUAGGUGUUACCACAAAUAUUCUAACUUUAGUAAACGUUGCAUGGGUGUGCAGCUUUUAAUCUCUUCGUUAAUACUGUCACAUUCAGUUUUUUUUAAAGGAUGAUAACCAUGAAUGUAUUUUUCUGUGAUGUUUUUAUAGAAAAGCUGUGACU
ensembl:lncRNA